rnacentral:rRNA from 1 species
UACAGAGACUGCAAGCGUUAUUCGGAUUCACUGGGCGUAAAGGGUGCGCAGGCGGCCAAGCGUGUUAGGCGUGAAAGCCUGAGGCUUAACCUCAGAAUUGCACCUAAAACUACAUGGCUAGAGCAUUGGAGAGGGUAGCGGAAUUCACGGUGUAGCAGUGAAAUGCGUAGAUAUCGUGAGGAACACCAGAGGCGAAGGCGGCUACCUGGACAAUUGCUGACGCUCAGGCACGAAAGCGUGGGGAGCAAAAGGG